rnacentral:rRNA from 1 species
CCGGCGACCGGCAGACGGGUGCGUAACGCGUAUGUAACCUACCUUUGACAGGGGGAUAACAUCGAGAAAUUGGUACUAAUACCCCAUAACAUCACCGGAGGCAUCUUCGGUGGUUGAAAACUCAGGUGGUCAGAGAUGGACAUGCGUUGUAUUAGCUAGUUGGUGAGGUAACGGCUCACCAAGGCGACGAUACAUAGGGGGACUGAGAGGUCAACCCCCCACAUUGGUACUGAGACACGGACCAAACUCCUACGGAAGGCAGCAG